UCCUCUUAUCGAGUUUCAACCAAUGCUUAUGCUUAAACCACCUGACCUAGCGUGUCCGAUUGUAAUCUGUUUUCGAAUCUGAAUGAUUCGGUAACAAAUUUAUUACCCCAAACACGUAAAAUAAACGUGAUGUCAAAUAUAUUACUAUUAUUACUACAAAAUAUGCCCGUGUGGGUUAACAGAUUAACUAACGAAUAAUUAACGGUACGAAAAAGACAGAGAAGUUAAAUAAAGGCAAAUCAAAAUCAAACGGUCACACACAAAGAUUCGUGUCUCUCUCUCGAAAACUCUUUUCCCUUCUUCGGACAAAUCCAUCUUCUUCCUUACUGUCUCUUUCUUCGCAUAGUUCAAUAAAAACCUUUGAUCCUUCCUUCACAUAAAUAAAUAAAUAAAUAAAUAAAUAUAAUUGUACGUUUUCUCUUUUCUCUCUGUUCUGGUCUCUUCACCGAUCACCAUAGAAAUACUUCACAUGGUCUUUAUGUCUACCAUCGCUUCUUCUUCGGAGUGUGUUUGUUCCAGUUUCGAAGUAACCAAGUGAAGACGAACCAACCCACCCAUUGCAGGUUUACUUGGUUGGAAGCAAAACAGGCAGUUGAGGAUUGAACAACGGUUAAGGAGAAUACUUCAUGGAUUACUCGUCUCAAGAGGAAGAUUUGCAGUUUUUUUAUGCCAAGGAAGAAGAGAUGAUGACGGCAUCCGACUUCGAUGUAUGGAAUGAUUCACCUGCAAGUGUUGUGGAGCGGCGGAGGAAGUUCUUGCAGUGGAUGGAAGAUCUUGCUCAACCUAUCAAGUUUGAGUCUGAUGGAGCUUCAGAGAACUGUGUUGAAGCUGAGCAGAUAUCUGGAGGAUUCAGCUCUUCUUCUAGUCAGGUAUCUUCCUCUGCUUCAAGCCUAGUGGAAGUUUCCGAGGAGUUGUUGUCUCUGAAUGUGGAUGGAUGCGAUGUAACGAGAUGGGAGAGCUCUUCAACGGCAUCAUCUUCUAGUUCCAGAUGUUGUCCAUUGAAGGAAACAGAGAAGCAGGGCAAUAUCAAGAAGGGAUGGUUCACCAGGCUGCGCUCUUUUGGAUGUUCCGCGGAUUAUACAAAGAUCAGAGCUUCUUCUUCUAGCUACGGCCAUGUGCUUUCAAGAGUUAAGGUCAAGCAUUGUAGGAAACAGACCAAAGAGCUCUCAGCUCUUUAUCAAAGCCAAGACAUUAAAGCUCACAACGGUUCCAUCUCGGCCAUGAAGUUUAGCGGCGAUGGGAAGUAUCUCGCAAGCUCUGGUGAAGAUGGGAUUGUGCGCGUCUGGAAAGUCAUCGAGGAUAAGAGAUCUAGACCACCAAGAGAUUGCCUUAACCCUACUUGUAUGUACUUUGAGGUAAAUGAUCAUUCCCAGUUGAAACCGGUCUUGUUAGAUGAAGAGAAACCAAACAAGACGACAGAAAGUUUCAAGAGAACAUCUGAUUCAGCCUGCGUCGUCUUCCCUCCUAAAGCUUUCCGGAUAAUGGAGAAACCCUUACAUGAGUUCCGCGGCCACACUGGUGAAGUCUUGGACAUCUCAUGGUCAAUGGAUAACUAUCUUCUCUCGGCGUCAAUGGAUAAAACUGUUCGUCUAUGGCAAGUUGGUUGCAACGAUUGUCUUGGAGUUUUCACUCACAAUAGUUAUGUGACGUCUGUUCAGUUCGACCCGGUGAAUGAGAACUACUUCAUGAGUGGUUCAGUUGAUGGGAAAGUUCGAAUCUGGAACGUUUCUGGUUGCAAUGUUGUUGAUUGGGUUGAUCUCAAAGACAUUAUAUCCGCAGUGUGUUAUCGUCCGGAUGGAAAGGGAGGAAUCAUUGGUUCUCUGAGUGGAGGCUGCAGAUUCUUUUACAUGUCUGGAGACUAUUUAGAAUUGGACUCUCAGAUACAUUUGCUUAGCAAAAAGAAGUCUUCUAAUAAACGUAUAACAGGCUUUCAGUUCUUACCACAAGAUCAGAGCAAAGUCCUGGUUGUUUCCGCUGAUUCCAAAGUCAGAAUUCUCCAAGGCAGAGAUGUUGUCAGAAAAUACAAAGGUGUUUGCAAGACGAGAAGCCUCACGUCAGUGUCUCUCACGUCUGAUGGGAAGCACAUUGUGUCAGCUUGUGAGGACUCCAAUAUAUAUAUAUGGAGCAAUGGAGAGGAAUCAGAUUCUUCUUCUUCCCAAACCAAAAAGAUUAGAUCUUUUGAACGUUUCUCCACCAAUGCAUCCGUUGCAGCAACCUGGUGUGGAUUCUUAGAUCACAACGCAACUCUCCCGUUUUCUUCACCCUCUUGCUUAUCUUAUGAAGGAUUUGUCCCUGGAUCAAUCCCCAAAGGAAGCGCGACGUGGCCAGAGGAAAACUUACCUGCAAAUCCUCUUUCCUCGUCCACAAUGAGUGCAUCACACUACAAGUUUCUCAAGUCCUCAUACCAGAGAGCAACGAAUAGCUCUCUAGCUUGGGGUAUGGUCAUUGUCACAGGUGGUUGGGACGGACGGAUCAGAACAUUUCAGAACUACGGCUUGCCUGUGACUACAGCUUGAGAAAACAAAACCAGAUGCCAUUGUUCUGGCAGGUCUUUGGAGGCUAUGGUAGGUCCCAAAAGAAACCUAGAUCCACUUUCUCAGACUUAUGCUAUUGCUCAAUAGUAAAGAAAGAGAUUCAAAAGCAAGUCCCUCCAGAUUAUGAUCCUGUAGAAGAUCUUUCAAGAAGGGGUCAGUGGGAGAUUUUUCCAUCGGUUGAUAUAGACACAGGAGAUGACAAGGAACAUAUGUUUCUUUUUCUUUGGCAGUAAGUGGCGGUUGGAGAUGGUUUCAACGAGUACGGUUCUGUCAGACGAUUGUGGGGUCCAAAGUAAUCAUGGUAAAGGAGUGGUUGAAGGUGAAAGAUGUUGAUGUUACUUCCACAGAAAAGAUCCUCCUCCAUGGAAGAGAAGUUGAGUUUAUUUUAGCUUAUUACAGAUUUGAUUAGAGAAGAAUUAAUUGAUUGUUAGCUCCCUUCACCUCGAGAGGCUCAGGUUUUUAUAUUUGUAAAUGAUUGUAUACAUCACAACUUCUUUAAAAAGUUAAUACGAUUUCAACUUUUACCGA